rnacentral:lncRNA from 1 species
GCGCUUUUAUAACGGCGAGGAGGGAAAAUAUAAACAAAACAUUGGUAGCGGAAGUAUAGAAACGCAAGGAAACAAAUGAACGGGAAACUGGGUUACCGAUAUCUUCACAGCGAAGUUGACAGACAGAGAAAACGUCUCAGUUGUAGUAUGUAUUAUGUUAGUAUAGUCUCUACUAUGUGCAUGAGGGUACAAAUAUGUGAUGUGUGUGUGAGUGCGUGCACACACACACACACACACACACACACACACACAUGCACACACACACACACACACACACACACAUACAUACGCACACACAUACACGCACAUACACACGCGUGCACACACACAUACAUACAUAUACAUGGCAUUUUCUUGUGUGAACAGUUAGAUAUACGAAUGCUACUGGCGAGUUUAGAGCUUUACGUAGAGUCUACUUCCAGUUCCCAUGACGAACUACCGUGAUUCAGCAUCCAACUGCAGUUAGAACACUGGCUGGAGAGGAUGCAAAUAACAACAACGGUGAAACGUACGUAGGAAGCAAAUUAUUAAACAAGAAUGGUUGUAUACUGUCAAUCUAACACGAACGUAACGGUAGGGGGUACACCACCGCUGUAUAGCCCUAGGAAGCAUCGACGCCUCCUGAUGGCUUUGACACAUUUUUCCCUGUGUCCUUAUAUAUAUUUACGAAGGUGUUUGUCUCUCCUUCGUAAAUGUAUAUAAGGACACAGGGAAAAAUGUGUCAAAGCCAUCAGGAGGCAUCGAUGCUUCCUAGGGCUAUACGGCGGUGGUGUACUCUCGGUCACGUUCGUGUUAGAUUGACAGUAUACAACCAUUCUAUCGCCCCACCACCGUACAUGUCUCUACGAGAGAUUUAGAAAUUUAGUAUUUCUUAUAUAAACAAGAUAUUGUGUUUAUCAUAUCGUGUGAGUGUGUGUACAUGCUUACGAGCGUGUGUGUCUGUGUGUAUGUGUUUUUGUUUUGUUUUUUUGGGGGGUAGGUAACCGUGGAAUAUGUAAUCUAGGUAUUGUUGCAAAUUCGCAUUUACGUUUUAUAUACCUGAUACGUAAAACGUCCGAAAACUAGAUAUCAUCAAGUAUUACCCUAGCAUAAUAAGGCUUAUCAAUGAAGACAAUCAUGCAAUGUCAAUUAUAUGUAAGCACCCUGAAGCAUGAACCCUAAAACAUAUUCAGCAUCACACGAAUGUACAACUCAGAAUAACGAAACCUCGAGAUAGAAGAUAUUCACAAACAAGUAUAUCAAACAUAUAAAUCCCGUCAUCAACUCCCUGAUUAAUGUAUAUAUAGACUCUCUCUCCUUCGCACGCGCACACACACACACAUAAAUGGCAUUGUUUUUCGUUUCUAGUUUUUAAUGGAAUUAUUUAGAAUUAUUCUGUUUUUUUUAGAAUCUUCAUUACAUGCAAUUUUAUCGAUUAUUCAAUGUACCAUUCCACUGCUUAUAAACGCAACAUGCGGACAGUCAUAUAAUUCUAUAAGAUACUGAAUCCGAGUGUAUGUAAAGAGAGAAAGAUGUAAGGCAAAAAAAAAAAAAAAAUAUGUAUGUGAGCCCGGGGAGGAACUUGGUAGAAUCAUUAGAGUGUCGGACAACAUGCUUUACGGAACUUCUUCAGCUGCAUUGCGUUCUGACUUCAAAUUCCGGCAGAGUCAUUUUUGACUUUCAUCCCUCUGCGGUCGAUAAGAUAAAUAAGAUAAAAGGCGGCGAGCUGGCAGAAACGUUAGCACGCCGGGCGAAAUGCGUAGCUGUAUUUCGUCCGCUGCUACGUUCUGAGUCGCCGAGGUUGACUUUACCUUUCAUCCUUUCGGGGUCGAUAAAUUAAGUACCAGAUACGCACUGGGGUCGAUCUAAUCGACUUAGUCCCUUUGUCUGUCCUUGUUUGUCCCCUCUAUGUUUAGCCCCAUGUGAGCAAUAAAGAAAUAAGAUAAAACACCAGUCAAGUACAAGACUCGAUUAUAAUCGAACCCAGGUCUUGAUUAGCAUUUUAUACUGGGGUUAAUAUAAUUGACCUCAAUACAUACAUCGGUCUGAUCUCCUCCCACUAAAAUUGGUGAUCGUGUUCCAAAAUUUGAAAGCAUAAAUAUAGAAAGCGGUGAGGUGGCAGAAAGGUUGGCGCAUCGGGAAAAUGCUAAGCUGCAUUUCUUCAGGUUUGGUAUGUUCUGAGUUCAAAUGCUGCCAAGUUCGACUUUGCCGUUCAUCCUCUCGAGUUUGAUAAAAUAAGCUAAUGAAUUCGUGUCAAUGUAGCCAUCUCCCGUCAAAAUUGCUUACCUACCAAAAUUCGAAACUUACACGUGCACAAACUUUUACUAGUUCAAACCUCUGUAUGUGUGUAUGUAUACACGAAUCCAAGUAAAAAAAAAAAGCCACAGGUGUUUUGUCUCGGGGGGUAUCCGAGGAGGUUUUGUCCUAGGGGGGUUUUGUCCGGAUCCCAUAAAUUAAUUGGGACUUUUUUCGUGUGACUUUAUUACAGGCCACCAUAAAUUGUGACUUUAUUACCGGUCACCGUAUACGCUACUCACGUUAUUAUAAGAAUUUCUGUUAAGGCGUUGAGCUGACAAAAUGCUUGGCGGCAGUUCAUCAGCCUCUAUGUUUAUAGUUCAAAUUCUGCCGUUCAUCCUUUUGGAUCGAUAAAACAAGUACCAGUUGAUUACUGGAGUCAAUGUAAUCAACUUGCUCCUUACUCACGUACCAACAUUUGAAACCAAUAUAAGAAUAUCUGUUGAAGUGCAUAUAAAGAAUGAAUAGGCGCAGAAGUGGCUGUGUGGUAGGUAGCUUGCUUACCAUCCACAUGGUUCCGGGUUCAGUCCCACUGCAUGGCACUUUGGGCAAGUGUCUUCCACUAUAGCCUCAGGCCGACCAAAGUCUUGUGGAGUGGAUUUGGUAGACGGAAAAUGAAAACGCCCGUCAUGUGUGUGUGUGUGUGUGUGUGUGUGUGUGUGUGUUUGUCCCUCCCCCAACAUCGCUUGGCAUCCGAUGCUGGUGUGUUUACGUCCCAUAACUUAGCGGUUCGGCAAAAAAGCGAUCGAUAGAAUAAGUACUAGGCUUACGAAGAAUAAGGCAUGGGGUCGAUUUGCUCGACAAAAGGUGGUGCGCCAGCAUGGCCGCAGUCAAAUGACUUAAGUAAAGAUGACAGAAGUAAAGGCCCUUGGGGAAUCAAUAGUACCAAGCUAGUGUAGUUUCUAUCGUAUAGUCAAACAAACUACCAAUAAGCUGAAUACAAGUUGGUAUUCCGAGCUAAAGGACGUCGAGUUCAAAUUGGCUGGUAACGAGGAUAUUCGUUACUGGAUGGUUGUUUAAACAAUGUUAAAUGUUACAAUCCAAAUCAAAGCUUCUUUUAUGAAGUCCGAUGCACGUGCGUUAAUACGUGCGUAUAGUGUUACUAAUAGAGGCAGGAUUGAACCACCCGCUUCGACAUUAAUCAAAGGCGCGGAGGGACCCGCUUGAAUUUCAACAAAGAUUAUCAUCAGCACAUCAUAAGUAAUAUGAACCAAGCCGCUUCGGCAUCGGUUUCAAACAAAUUCCACUGCAUCAAAGAUAUUAAUGUUGGCGGAAGCGUCGCUGACUAUGGUGAUAGAGUGAAAGAAGGAGAGGAAGCAAAGAAGAGAGAGGUGGGGUAAAGAAGUAGUGAAGCGACGACGGCAACUGUUAGUUUGAUUGGCGGUAUUUGGAGGAUGGUAACGAUAGAAUUGUUUGUAAUGGUGGCGGCACCGGCUCGUCGUCCGUGUAGUUGUUUAAAGUAAAACAGUAUCUUCGUGUUGGCUUGCUGGCUAAUUAUUUAGUUAGCUGUCAGGCUGGUUGUUUGGCGGGCUGGUUUUUUCGUUAGUUUAUACGUCCGGACUGAUUAGCGAGUUUCACUAUGUGAAUCAAACCUAUUUGAUUAACAAGGUGAUGAUAAAACAAGCGAGGAUGAUAAAAUUAAGAAACAAAGUCGCAUUUUUUCCUCUGAAGUAACGACAAAUAAGUUAGAUCUGGGAUGUUAAGAAACCAAUAUGUUAGGAAGUUACUUAGAUAAAUAUUUAUCUGAACCAAAUUCAGCUUUGACAGAAAUACCAGCAGAAAAUUUUGUUGACGAGUAAAAUAAUAAAAUAUUGGCUCUUUCGUUACCAACCCGGCCGAAACCGGCUCUGGCUCUGAGUACAAAUGCCUUGUUUUCAUAAGUUUUGAAUUAAAAUCUUCAACCAAACCUUAGUCACAAUUUAUGUUUGUAACACUAGCUGAAUGAUUACCAAGUUAUUUUACUAAAUUCUUUGUUAUAUUUAAAGUAAUUCAAAGAAACACAGAGCAUCUCAAAAUAAAUACGGUAACGAAAGGAACUGUGGCUUCAUGCUGAGUGUGAAGCUUAUCAAUUAUGCUGUACUCUUGAAUGAAGAGUAAUUUUUCAGUGAACUAAACUAUAUUACUAGUUUACAGUUCUGAGCAUUUUGUCCGAUGCGUUAACGCACGCCACCUUAAACUAAAUGUGCGCCCAACGAUGUGGUAGAUCAGCUGUAGAGUGAAAGAUUUUCCAUUUGUCUUGAAUUUUCGGACUAAAAACAGUUUGUAUGAGUAACUGCAUAAUAGCUAUUCCGUACUUAUAUUGUUUGAAUGCUCUUAAGAACAUUAAAGGAGAUGAAGAGAAUAAGGCGAUUAGAAGAAGAGUGAGAUAUAAAGUUACGCGAUUCCAUAAUUUCGGGAAGAUGUCUAUAAAGCAAUAUGAAGCUAUCUUUUAAGGUGUAUUUGAAAACAAACAAUAGGAUGUUUGAAGGAACAAACUUGUCAUUUGAAGAAAGGAGUUUUGCUAAGGGUGAAUUUCGAAACAAAGCAAGUGACCAGAAAGAGUUGAGGUUAGAGUUACAGGUUACACUUUAGAGUUAGAAUAACUAAUGCUGUUGCUAGCAUUAUUUAGCUCUUUAUCAUUUCUAAUUUAGUAUACUUAUGUGCAAAAGUAUUCCGAUUGUGAGUAUACCGUCUUUCUAGACGUCUCUAAGAUCAUAUUAUCUAAUGUACCUUUCACCUUUUCAAUACGGUACGGAUUUAAUUGUUAUUUUUAGAAGGUUGAGCAACUCAAUACAGAGUCCUUUUGAACCUUCUCCCAUACUCGAAAUACUAAACAAAGCACAUUGCCAGCUCUUUAAAAGUUUCAUUACACGAGCGUGCGAGAGAGAUAUACAUAUUUGUGUGUGUGUGUGUGUGUGUGUGUGUGUGUGUGUGUGUGUGUGUGUGUGCGCGCGUGCGUGCGUGUGUGUGUGUGUGUGUGUGUGUGUGCGUGUGUGUGCGUGCGUGUGUGUGUGUGUAUUUGCGUGUAUGCGUGCGUGUGUGUGCGUGUGUGUGUGUGUGUGUGUGUGUGUGUGUGUGUGUGUGUGCGUGUGUGUGUGUGUGUGUAUCUUUUACUUGUUUCAGCCAUUACACUGCAGUUAUGAUGGGAUACUGCCUGCAAGAACUUUUAGUCAAUAGAAUCGACCCCAUUACUUUUUUAAAAAAAAGUUAGGUACUUAUUCUAUAGGAUACGGGAAUGUAAACACAGCAACGCCGGUUGUCAAGCGGGGAUGGGGGACAAACACACAAAGACGCGCGCGCUCACUCACACACACUCGCACACACACAUGACAGAUUUCCUUCAUAAAAGAAAGAUGUGAAUUCUACUUUGCAGUAAUAUUUCUACGAGUGUGGAUGUAUAUUGGUUAUGCGACGUCGCAGCUCAAAUGCAUAUUUUGAGAUACUCGUAAAUUUAUGCUAUGGAAUACCGUCGCUGAUGAGAGCAGUAGGUAAUAUUUCUUUACAUUAAGCUUGAAACAGGAUCUUGUACGCGGUGACCCGAAAAGUUGUUGAUUCAUUAUUUUUCUUUUGCUCACCUACAGUGUAGUGUGUUAUUCUCAGAGAUUCUAAGGUGGUAAUAAGGCAUUUGGCGUUUAUUUCUAGUGUGUGGUGAGAGGCGUAAAACCAAUCCCUUGUUAUAAUUAUGUAUAUAAUUAUAAAAUAUUUGGUAAAAUGAGGUUUUUAUUUUCGCGCUGACCACCUGGUAAAAUUAUUAAUGAUUUUACCCUUUAUUAUUAUUAUUAUUAUUAUUAUUAUUAUUAUUAUUAUUAUUAUUAUUAUUAUUAUUAUUAUUAUUAUUAUUAUUAAGUAGUUUUAUUUUUAUAGCGUGCUUUCACUUCACUACCGAGCGCAGCUCUGUGUGCCUUGGGUAUGUGCUGUGAUUUGUUGUGAUGCUCUGAUGGUUAUUGUAUGGAAAGUGUUCUGCGUAGGAUGUGUGCAGUGCCUAGUAGUGCAAUUUUCUGUAUGUUAUAUGUGUUUGUAAGUCCUGGUGUUUUUGUUAUGUAUUUGUCUGAAUAUUUUUUUAUCAUGCCUAAUGCACCUACUAUGAUAGGAAUUGUUUCUGUUUUCAGAUUCCACAUUCUAGUUACCUCUAUUUCCAGGUCUUUGUAUUUUGAGAGUUUCUCCAUUUCUUUUAGAGACACGUUGUCAUCUGCCGGUAUUGAUACAUCAAUUAGAAAGCAUUUUUUUUUCUUCAUGAUCUCUGACAACUAUAUCUGGUCUGUUGGCCUUAAUUUCUCUAUCUGUGUGUAUCGGCAUAUCCCAGAGUAUGGUUGCUUUCUCGUUUUCUGUGACCUUUUCUGGUGUGUGCCUAUACCAUCUUUUUUCUGUUGUUAUUCCAUAAUGUAUGUAGGUUCCAACUCUGUCAUGUCUGUGAAUAUAUUCCUUCUUAGCCAGGACUGGGCAGCUAGAGAUAAUAUGAUUUAUUGUUUCUUGUCCAUCUCCACAUAUUCUGCAGUUACUUGUAAUAUUUCUUUUCAUUACAUGUUUUUGGUAAUUUCUGGUGGGGAGGCUUUGGUCUUGUGCUGCAAUUAAAAAUCCCUCUGGUUCUGCUUUGAGUCCUGAGCUUCUCAACCAUUGCUGGGAUUUUUCUUUGUCUAUUUCUUUUGCGUUUAGUUUAGUCUAGUAUUUACCAUGAAGGGGCUUAUUAUUAUUAUUAUUAUUAUUAUUAUUAUUAUAUUAGGUUGUUUCACAAGAAAUGUCGUAUUUGAAAGGUAACAAUAAAAUAUUUCAAAAGAUUUAGAGAAAUGAUUUAUGAAAUCAAAGUAUGAUCCAUGUUCAUUUAUGACGUUUACCCAACGUUUCUCUAUGUCAUAUAUUCCAUCUUUAACAAAAAAAUUCAUCUUUUGUUGUGAUAAACUGUCCGAAUGCUUCAAUUACCUCUUCUCUAUUUAAGAUUGUUUUAUUGCUUAUGAAAAGCUCAAAAUGCUUAAAUAAAUGAUGAUCAGUAGGUGAGAUAUAAGGGGAAUAAGGGGGGUGUUGCAAAUCCCAUAAUUCAGUCUUUGCAACUUUUGGACCGCAGCUUGAGGAGUGUGAGGACGUGCAUUGUCGUGGGGCAAAAUUGCGCCAUCUUUAUUCACUAGUCUAGGUAGCUUCUUUUCCAAAUUCUCAUGCAUACAAUCAAUUUACGGGCAAUAGAUGUUGCUGUUACUGUUUUUCCUUGUUGCAAAAAUGAAUAAUGAAUAACUCCCUUCGCAGACCACCAUACAGUAACCACUAACUUUCUAGGGUGCAAUGGUGGGUUUGGGCAGUGUUUAGAUGACUCUCCUACAUCUAAUCACUGUCCUGUUCUCCUGCUGUUGUCAAACAGUAACCAUUUCUCAUCACAAGUAAUGAUUUGAUGCAAAAUUAUCUUUUUCCAGUAGAGAAAGCAAUUAGGAGCACACUUCGAGGCGACUGCUUUUUUUUUAUUAUUAUUAAUCUCGCUCAGUUGAUGUAGAACAAACUUGUCCGUUUUCUUGACUUUUCCAAUUUUUUUUACAGGUAUCCAAAAACAGUUGUGCGAGAUGCUUGGAGAUCUGAUGAAAGUUUUCGAACUUUUAUUCUCGGAUUUUGUUCAACCAAAGCAUUUAAUCCAUCAUGCGGAACAACUGAUUUUGGCUUAACCCUUGGUUUAUUUUCAAGGCUAUCAUCUCCUGAACGAAAGCCUUGGAACCAUCUCAGAACAGUUCUGAUGUCAAUAAAACCAUUACCAAAGGCCCGUUUGAUAUUCCAUAAAGCUUCUGCGGCAGAGUGACCCAGUUUGUACUCAUAAGAGAAAAUCACUCAACAUAGUUUGGUUGUUAUCAUUUUCAUAAUGUCUGUGGGUACGAAUUUUGUAUACCAAUAUUGUUGGGAAGGAAAAAGAGUCAAGAUGAAAU